UCAGCCCCAGCGGGCGGGCGAGUAAGCUGCAGGUAAUCCUGUGGAUCCGGAACCAGGCCAGGCUCUCAUCUCAGCGGGAGGGACUGUGGAGUAGCCUGAGGGACAGCUGAGACCUCUGGGAGCCCACAUUAUGGAGACCUCACACACAGUGCUGCAGAAGGUGCUCAUCCUACAGAUGAGGAGACCAGAGAAAGCAUUUGCCCAAGCCUCACGGUCAUUAGUCUGAGAGCUUCACUGUCAGAGUUCCUCAACCGCUGCUCAGCAGGACUGCGGGGACACGGGUUCGAGCCCUGGUCCGGGAAGAUCCCACAUGCCGCGGAGCAACUGGGCCCGUGAGCCACAACUACUGAGCCUGCGCGUCUGGAGCCUGCGCUCCGCAACAAGAGAGGCCGCGACAGUGAGAGGCCCGCGCACCGCGGUGAAGAGUGGCCCCCGCUUGCCGCAACUGGAG